rnacentral:lncRNA from 1 species
AGUAUCCAGCUGGCUCCACAGGUGGUAGGGAGUGGGAGCUUAAAAACGAAGAAACUGAAGGGGACAGAUGAUCCUGAUGAAAUGGAGACUGGAUUUUUAUUUUUUAAAAAAUACAAGUGAAAGAGAAUGCAGCCCCAAAGAGUAGCUGGAGCAGAAUGGGAUCCUAAGUCUUCGCCUUGGAGAGUGAACUUCUAGGUUCUGAGCUGACUCCUUGGAAACCCUAGACUCCAGGGACGCGCUUCUAGAACCUGCUCAGAUUGCUACUCAGUUAACAGCCUGGCCCAGGAGGAUUGCAACACCCAGCCUGGCUCCCAGGCAAGCUAAAGAGGGCUUGAUGAUGGGAAGAGGUUAAGGGGUACGUGGAGAGAAAGAAGGAUCAGAAGGCGGAAACAUCAUAGACCUCCUGGGAUGCCUUCUGCAGGAUCACAGAGAAGGCAAAAUUUGUCCUCCUGACUACAAGAUGCCAAGAUACAUUUGUAUCGAGCCACUGAAUUCUCUACCCCUUCUGUAGAGGUGGUUGGGGAAGAGCUGCAGUAGGAAGCUGGGUCCCAAGUAAUGAAGGACCUUUAGAAGCAGAAGGUGUUAGGGUGGGGGCAAAGGACUGAACUCUGACCAACCAGAAGAAAGGAAAAACUGGAGUUCCUUUCCCCUAGGCUCCAGCCCUCACCAGCAGGGACUCAACAAACGCCAUCUGUCAGAUGAGUCAUGGGACCAGAAGCUUGGGAGAAGACAUGCAGAGCCAACCACUAACAAAACUGGCAAAUGAAAUAAAUGCCCAGAAACC